rnacentral:lncRNA from 1 species
AAAAUAAGUUGGCUUGCAUGUGGAGUGGUGAGAAAGGGGAGAUCUUUCUAUUUGCCUGCUGGGAUUUGGAGUCUAUAGUUUUAUAGGGACACAUUUCCAAGUUUUUAUCACCAUCUAUAGGGGCUAGAAAACACUCUCUCGUGUUAAACGAAAGCUGAAAUCCCCCUAGUCCUACACACUGACGAUCUGGAGCUUUAACCCUGACUAAAUCACAACAUCAUCUUUAGAAUCAGCCCGUGCAAGAUGUCUCUCACCAAAGAAAGAAAAAUCCAUACGGAAAGAGUUGUUAAGGAGUCCUGAGCAAGUGCAGCUGUUAAGGGAGCAGUCACUGAGACACAACCAGGAAGGAGGAGAGGCAUUUUUCUGUGAUGUGAAGGAAGUUCGUGCAGCCAAAGGUGAGGAGACAGGGUCACUCUGGUCUAUUCCCUAGACCACCCUAUUGCUCCAGCAAUGUAUUGAUUUGUGGAUCUCUGCAAAGCAGACAGACCAGGUCAGAGAUGUCCCUACGAUUCUUUUUGCUCCCUUGAAGGACUGCUGUGAAGUUACAGUCGCAAUAUAAAGAUGACAAGAAGUUCAAGACAAGAUAAAGGACCCCAGUGAGAUUGGACACUGAGAGAAAAUGAAAUGAGAGGCUGACUAUGAAAAGAGAGUCCAUUUUUCCAGUUGUGUGCAGAGUACAGCUGAGAAACAAAGGCUUACAAUGACCUGGGCCAUCUGAGUCACAAAUAUCUGUCACUGCUGUCACAGAGAUCCAAAGUGCUGCUCCUCUAUGGAAGGAUACUCUCAAGGCAAUCACUGAUGCUGUCUGUUCUGUCUGUUCCAGGCUUUUUUCCACUCCUUAUACAUUUUAAUAACCAAACCAUUAACAUACAGAAACAUUUCAUCAUAAGCCAGGUGAGAGGUAGCUAGAAUUUUUUUUUUUUUUAAAUUUUCAUUUAUUCUAAGUUUCAAAGAAAAUUUAAAAUUACAAAAUCUCAACAGAUGACUUAAGGAGACAUUAUUAA